GCAGAGCAGGCAGAAGGCAGAAGGCAGGCGGAGCAGCUACCCGGACUCCAGGACAGACGAAGGCCAGGUGAGUGAGCGGGGGCACCCGGCCUGCAGCCUGGUUGCCGAGCGGGAGCCCCUCCAGAUCUCUCUCCCAUCCAGCAGCCCAGGGAGCCCUGACCCAUCAUGGAUGCUGUGGACACCACCAUGGAGAAGCUCCGGGCCCAGUGCCUGUCCCGAGGGGCCUCGGGCAUCCAGGGUCUGGCCAGGUUUUUCCGCCGCAUGGACCGGGACAGGAGCCGGUCCCUGGACGCAGGGGAGCUCCAGCGGGGCCUGGCCGAGCUGGGGCUGGUGCUGGACACAGCCGAGGCGCAGGGCGUGUGCAGGCGCUGGGACCGUGAUGGCAGUGGGACGCUGGACCUGGAGGAGUUCCUGCGGGCACUGCGGCCCCCCAUGUCCCAGGUCCGGGAGGCAGUCAUCACAGCCGCGUUCGCCAAGCUGGACCGCAGCGGGGACGGCGUGGUGACUGUGGAUGACCUCCGGGGGGUGUACAGCGGCCGCGCCCACCCCAGGGUGCGGAGCGGGGAGUGGACGGAGGAGGAGGUGCUCCGCCGCUUCCUGGACAACUUUGACUCCUCCGAGAAGGACGGGCAGGUGGGUGCGCGGAUACCACCCCCUCUGCCCACGCCUGCGGUCCCCCCUGACAGCCCAUCUGCCCCCAGGUCACGCUGGCCGAGUUCCAGGACUACUACAGUGGCGUGAGCGCCUCUGUGGACACGGAUGAGGAGUUUGUGGCCAUGAUGACCAGCGCCUGGCGGCUGUGAGCGGUGCACACCCACUCGGCUGGCACCAUGCAGUGAAGCCAGGCAGCGCCCGGGUGGGGAAGCAAACUGCUCUUCUGUGACGCAAGGCUCUGCACGGAGCGGCCAGUCUUGGAAGGCAGCCGAGCUUGGUCACCUGCCCAGGUGUGGAGUGCGGGGCAAGCCAGGCUGCUGAGGAACCGUUCCUGGCCAGGUUGCCUGGCUUCCUGAGGCCCCUGGGGCAUGCGGGAGGCCAGAGUUUUAGUUAAAAGUUUUAAUGUAGUUCCCAAAUACAUUUCAUAUGACAAUCUUACAUAAAUGUUCCAAAACA